UAGGUUGUGGGCGGGUAACGGCCCACCAAGCCAUUGAUCGGUACGGGUUGUGGGAGCAAGAUCCCGGAGAUGGAUUCUGAGACAUGAAUCCAGGCCCUACGGGGCGCAGCAGGCGCGCAAACUUUACAAUGCGAGCAAUCGUGAUAAGGAAACCCUGAGUGCCUGUCGAUGCAGGCUGUUCAUAUAUCUAAAUCAUAUGUGAAGAAAGGGCAGGGCAAGACCGGUGCCAGCCGCCGCGGUAAUACCGGCUGCUCGAGUGAUGGCCACUAUUACUGGGUUUAAAGCGUCCGUAGCUUGACUGUUAGGUCUCUUGGGAAAUCUUCGCGCUCAACGUGAAGGCGUCUAAGAGAUACCGGCAGUCUUGGAACUGGGAGAGGUAAACCGUACUUCGGGGGUAGGAGUGAAAUCUUGUAAUCCUCGAGGGACGACCUAUGGCGAAGGCAGUUUACCAGAACAGCUUCGACAGUGAGGGACGAAAGCUGGGGGAGCAAACGGGAUUAGAUACCCCGGUAGUCCCAGCCGUAAACAAUGUGCGUUAGGUGUGUCGGUAACCACGUGUUACUGAUGCGCCGAAGAGAAAUCGUGAAACGCACCACCUGGGAAGUACGGUCGCAAGGCUGAAACUUAAAGGAAUUGGCGGGGGAGCACCACAACAGGUGGAGCCUGCGGUUUAAUUGGAUUCAACGCCGGA
rnacentral:rRNA from 1 species